ACAUACGACCAUACCCAUUGGAAUAUACGGGAUCCCGUCCGCUCUCCCCUAGUUAAACCAGUAAGGGCCAUUUUGUACUGUGAGAC
rnacentral:rRNA from 1 species